rnacentral:rRNA from 1 species
UACGUAGGGGGCAAGCGUUGUCCGGAAUUAUUGGGCGUAAAGAGCGUGUAGGCGGUCCGGUAAGUCAGCUGUGAAAGUCAAGGGCUCAACCCUUGAAUGCCGGUUGAUACUGUCGGGCUAGAGUCCGGAAGAGGCGAGUGGAAUUCCCGGUGUAGCGGUGAAAUGCGCAGAUAUCAGGAGGAACACCGAUGGCGAAGGCGGCUCUCUGGUACGUGACUGACGCUGAGACGCGAAAGCGUGGGGAGCAAACAGG